GGUGGCUCAGUGGAAGAGUGUUUGCCUUACAUGCAGUAGGCCCUGGGUUCAAUUCCUCAGCACCA
rnacentral:tRNA from 1 species